ACAGCAGCAGCCGCGGUAAGACAGAGGUCCCGAGCGUUGUUCGGAUUCAUUGGGCGUAAAGGGUGUGUAGGAGGCCAGGUAAGUCAGGUGUGAAAUCUCAGAGCUUAACUCUGAAACUGCGCUUGAUACUGCUUGGCUAGAGGAUCGGAGGGGGUAACGGAAUUUAUGGUGUAGCAGUGAAAUGCGUAGAUAUCAUAAGGAACACCGGUGGCGAAGGCGGUUACCUGGAAGAUUCCUGACUCUGAAACACGAAAGCCAGGGGAGCAAACGGGAUUAGAUACCCGUGUAGUCCCUGUCUCUUAUAC
rnacentral:rRNA from 1 species